GAUAACCACAGCCUCCUCAGCAGAAGGUCAACGCCUGCUUCUACAUCACUGCCUGUUGAGCCCCGCCCACUGAUUCAUGCAUGUAAGAUGGCUCCGAAGACAAGACACUGUGCAGUGCCAAGUUGUGGAAAAUCAGUCAUUGUGUCGCCUUCCUUCUAAUCGUAACGUUAGGAAAGAGUGGAUGAACUUUAUUUUUAAUGAAGUUCCAGACAGUGUCAGUAAGAACUCGGCCCUUUGUUCACUUCAUUUUACCAUGGAUCUGUUUACAAACAAGGCACAAUUCGAUGCAGGAUUUUCAAAAAACAUUGAAACUAAAAGAUGAUGCUAGGCCGACUAUAUUGGACCCGACAGUAAUACAACUCUCUCGUUGCUUUCUUUGGCUGACUGAAUGAUUCAUCCUCUCGUCAUCCCUGGACUGAGUGGGAUGCAGAGGUGGAAGAGGAUGUGGGACUGUGUGGAGGAGAGAGGCAGGUGCACAGAUCCACCCCCACAAACGAGGAAGAAAGUUGAGACGGAAUCAGAGUUCAAUCUCUUUCACCACCACCAACAAAAAAAGGAUGGGACUGCGAAUGUAAAACUGUGGAGCACUUUAUCUUCUUGAAGUCAAACUUUUAUUGUCAAACUUUACUAUAUUUAACAAAAACAAGUGAGAAAUAGUGGUGCAUAUCAUAUUAAAUUGCCUUCUGUUUAA